UGUAACUUAGUAUAAUUAUUGGACUCUGAGUUUGUGCUCUUUAUCUUAUGGACCAAAAAAGCCUGCAUCUGUUCUUUUGUCUGUUCAGAAACUAGGCUUUUUGUAGCCCAGUUAAAUCUAUUUUGUUGUCUCAGACAAACAAUGGAGUGUUUUGCCAGUGCUGCUGGGUUGAAAUUCUUGGUCAAAGGAACUUGUGUUUUUGUCCUCUGCUGAAAUUUGAAAUCAAGCCCAAUUAUUGUCGUUGGUCAUAUGGCCUCUGUUUUAAUGUAACACAAUGCACCCUCCAGGGCAGAAUGUCUGCUAUGUCAAACUGAAUUAAAUGCCUUCUUAAAAUCAUCUUAAGAAGAAGAAGAAAAGAAAUGAUCUGAUCUUCCUUGAAGACACUUGUGUCAGAAUUGGAAGUAAAGAGCUUCAUGGCCUCUCCAGUACUUCAGUCAUCUGUGAUUUCUCCUAAAGGAAAGUUCUCUAACACCGAUUUUACUGCAUGCUCCCCCUGACCUGCCCUGACCUGGAAUGAGUCUGGAAAAAUAAAAAAGGAGAAAGAAAACACAAGGCAGGAGCUGAUGCCUUUUCUUUCUCAAACUGAGAAAGAUUCAACCGAUGGUGUGUGAGAAUGUACAAAAACAUCUGAGAUGAUGCCGUAUUGGAAAAUGCCUAACUCUGCAAAUGAAUUCACCACCAUCCCCCAACGUGGGACCGGACCUCCAAGAUUAAUGAGCCUUCCUGAUGAUGUGGGACAUGGAUUCCGGAAAUGAGUCUGACACUGCCAUCGAGGGAUUAAGAAUGCCUUUUUGGCCAAAAGGGGGAAAAGAAAGUCAAGAAAAUAAGAUUUUAGUGGCUAAGAGAAUUCAAAUAGUGGAGAGACUGUCCUGGAGGUUACUCCUAGGCAAAUUUCACAUAGAUAUGCCAAAUGACCACAAUAUGUUAAGCCCAAGUCAACAGUAGUCCUGAAAACCUCAAAGAGUACUAGAUCCCUAUCUUAGACUCUAUAUAAGCUUCACUCACUAAGUUCAUUCUUUAGAAACUUAAAUCCUUUAGAGUGCGCCUAUGCCAGCUAAGUCCCCAAACCCAGAGGUAAUAGCCUCUUCAAGAACAUAAGCUAGAC